rnacentral:piRNA from 1 species
UAGUGUUUGUUUUAUUAUACAGGUCCU